AUUGAACGCUGGCGGCAGGCCUAACACAUGCAAGUCGAGCGGAUGAGGGUAGCUUGCUAUCUGAUUCAGCGGCGGACGGGUGAGUAAUGCCUAGGAAUCUGCCUGGUAGUGGGGGACAACGUUUCGAAAGGAACGCUAAUACCGCAUACGUCCUACGGGAGAAAGUGGGGGAUCUUCGGACCUCACGCUAUCAGAUGAGCCUAGGUACGAUUAGCUAGUUGGUGAGGUAAAGGCUCACCAAGUCGACGAUCGUUAACUGGUCUGAGAGGAUGAUCAGUCACACUGGAACUGAGACACGGUCCAGACUCCUACGGGAGGCAGCAGUGGGGAAUAUUGGACAAGGGGCGAAAGCCUGAUCCAGCCAUGCCGCGUGUGUGAAGAAGGUCUUCGGAUUGUAAAGCACUUUAAGUUGGGAGGAAGGGCAGUAAGUUAAUACCUUGCUGUUUUGACGUUACCGACAGAAUAAGCACCGGCUAACUUCGUGCCAGCCGCCGCCGUAACAC
rnacentral:rRNA from 1 species